ACUCCUACGGGAGGCAGCAGUGGGGAAUAUUGCACAAUGGGCGCAAGCCUGAUGCAGCCAUGCCGCGUGUAUGAAGAAGGCCUUCGGGUUGUAAAGUACUUUCAGCAGUGAGGAAGGCGGGUACGUUAAUAGCGUGCUUGUUUGACGUUAGCUGCAGAAGAAGCACCGGCUAACUCCGUGCCAGCAGCCGCGGUAAUACGGAGGGUGCGAGCGUUAAUCGGAAUUACUGGGCGUAAAGCGCAUGCAGGUGGUUUGUUAAGUCAGAUGUGAAAGCCCGGGGCUCAACCUCGGAAUUGCAUUUGAAACUGGCAGACUAGAGUACUGUAGAGGGGGGUAGAAUUUCAGGUGUAGCGGUGAAAUGCGUAGAGAUCUGAAGGAAUACCAGUGGCGAAGGCGGCCCCCUGGACAAAGACUGACGCUCAGAUGCGAAAGCGUGGGGAGCAAACAGGAUUAGAUA
rnacentral:rRNA from 1 species